rnacentral:lncRNA from 1 species
AAAGGGUUGGGUUUCCGUCGUCUCUUCCUGCUUCCUCCUUCUCGCCUUCUCCUUCGCUUCUUCUUCUCCAAUCCAUGGCGACCGCCGUUGCUCCCAAAUUGGAGUCCUCUCAAAGGCUUAGGAGUUUCUUUCGUCUUGGAAACAGGUAACUAUCAAACCCUAGUUCUUGUCAAUUCCGCUCUACGUCCAUAUCUCUCUUUCGGGACAUCCGAUAAAAUUGGAACGACACUCUACGUCCAUACGAUAUCGUUGCCAUUUUCUUCCUCAAUCUAGGGCUCAAUUUCACUCUUCUUUUUCCACUUUCUUGACACAAAAAAAUUGAUAAUUUCUUUAUACUAUCUUUUAUUUAGUGUUCCUCAAAGACUUCAUAUGUUUUAAUGCAAGACUUUUUCCCCCCUUUUUUACUUUCUUUCACCCCUCCCCAACACCCAUCUUCUCGGUUGUCUUCUUUGAUGGCCCC